CUCCUCGAAGCUGUACGUGGCUUGUCCUAGGCUGACGCGUGCCUAAAGUCUUACUGGGACGUCCGGUUAAACAAAGUCCAGUAACCGGCACAGCCGGUCUCCACUCGCAGGCAUCCACACUCUUAACAAAGGUGCCACUUCCCGCUCACCAUAGCAUACAUACCAACCUUUGCUGCUACCUCACGGCCAUGGCGGUUCUUCCAAACAAGUUCCACGCCACCUCUUCGCUUUCUCAAAGCUUCAAUCGAUUCUGAGUUGAGCCAAUAUCAUGAGCUAAGCUCUUUUAAUAUUUGGCAACAAAAUCUGAGCUUUUUCAACUUUUGCUUCAAAGUUCAUGCUGCUUUGUGGGUGAGAAAAUAGACCCAGCAUUUUGUUUUGUUUACUUUGCAUUACUUUGUUUUGGCUUUGAUUCUUUUACCAAGAAAGUAGAUCCGUUUGGUUUCCGAGAAAAUGUUGGAAAAGGACGUAAAAGAGAGCUUUGAUUUUUGUGCCUUGUUGGGGCUGAAGAUUGGACAUUACCUUAUCUACAGGCUCCAUUUGUGAUGAGACUGUUGUUUCCCUGACUAUUUACUGGGAAAGGUUAAGGUUUUACUUAGUUUCUCAAAAGAAAUGACUGGAAGGAAGAAUUUUGGACAUGGGUUUUGCUUCUUAAGGAACUUCUGUGCUUGCCCUCUUUAUUUCCAUGGAGAGUUUUCUUUGGGGAUGGUUUUAAUUGUUGUUCCUUGCCCCUUUUCCCGGAAACCAACCAGUCUUAUUUGUUGGUUUAAUGCUAAGUUUGGUUCUUUGCUAUUAUUUAUGUAUGUGUAUGAAAGCUUGAAAAGUUCUAUGUUUUUGUUUCAUAGUAAAUGUGUAACUCAGCUCUUGGUUAUAUUAUUGGUAGAUAUC
rnacentral:lncRNA from 1 species